UCUUCCAGUUCUGACCAGUAUCAAUAUUACAAUAUGUAGUAAUUAUCAUUUACUAGUGCUAGGAAUAGAGCUAAGCCCUCUGCCUAUUAACUCAGUUAAAACUCCGUUGUUUUAUUCCAGUCAUUACAGAGGAGGAAAACCAGAGUCCCUCAGCUUGUAGGUGGUCUUCCACCCAGAUUUCUAACCAAAACCCCAUCUUCUAAAUGACAGAUCUCUAUCAGCCUGUAAAUCAGCGGGAUCCAUGAUGGUAGAUAAAUAAUAGAGGCAUUAUAGGCACUCAAACUAGGACUGCAAUUUACAUGCAUCAUCUCAUUUGAGUGUGAGUUUCUGGUGUGAGAUUUAUUCCAUAGCCCUAAUGCAAGAAGUUUCCCAUGCCUUUAUCUCAUUCAAUACUGCCCUGAAGUCAACUUGCCCACACACAGCCCCACACACAGCCCCACACACAGCCAUGGACUCUUUGUGAUGUCAGAAAAUAGGCGCCACACGGAAGCUUCUCUGCCUACUCAUGGACAUUAUGACAUAAUGGCCAAGGACUACUUUUCCUUCUGGUAUCCAAGGACUCUAGCCUCAGUACCUCAGACCUAUACCUGGACCUUCACCUUCUUCACUGCCAGUGAUAUAUUUCAGCUUCUCCCUGAAGGAGCAAUGAACUCGCCAUAUUACAUCAGGUUAAGAAGUUUUGACUGGAAAGAAGGAUCACUGAUCUAAGGUCCUAUUGCUAGGAAGUAGCAGAGCUAGGAAUUUGAAGCUCUCAGACUUUAACUUUCAACUGUGGGCCACCUACUCCCCCUCUCUUGUUUCUCCAAGAAACUCCAUCAUUAGAAUCACUAUGGAAAAGCUCAUUGAAACUUCCCAGGUCAGAGACUGGCUUACAGAAUGAAAAACUGUGGGGACAAUCUGCAUUUUUAAAAUCCUGUGUGUUACCUACCAGCUUUCAGAAUUUCUAUUUGAAAUUUCAGCCAACAUCACAAUAUUAAGUGUGGGCAGACAAACUCUUAGGUGCCCCCACAAUGAUCAGUGCCUGCUGGCAUUCACACUUGUCUUAACUCAGAGUGCCAUAAGAAAAUACCACAGAUUGGAUAGUUCAUUCAACAAAAACUUAUUCUCUCAAAGUUAUAGAGGCUGGAAGUCUGAGAUCAGGGUGACCCACCAAUUUGGUUUCUACGGAGGGCUCUUCCUGGUUUGCAGAUGGCUACCUUCUCACUCCAUCCUCACAUGGCCUUUCCUCAGUGUGUGUGAGGAGAAAGAGUGAACUCUUUGGUGCCUCCUCUUAUAAGGACAGUAGUCCUUAUCAGAUGAGGGCCUUACCCUUACGAUCUCAUUUGACCUUAAUUGCUUCUGUAGAGGCCUCAUCUCCAAGGAUAGCCAUGCUGGGGUUAAGGUUUCAACAUGAAUUCAGUGGGGACACAAACAUUCGGUUCAUAACAAUCUUUAAGUAAUCCAUUCUGCUUGAGUUGGACUUCUCCCUGAGAUGAGACUUGUGAUUUUUUUCUAACCAAUAGCAUCUGGCAAAGGUGAUGGGAUGUCCUUUUGUGAUACAUUACAUUAUAUAAGACUCCAUCUUGCUAGAAAAUUUGCUCUAGAGGCUCUUCUUGCUGAUUUGUUGAAGUAACCAUUUUGGGAAAGUCCACCUGGCAAGAAACUGCCUCUAGAGGCAGAAGGUGGCUUCCAACCAAAGGAGAAAGCUGGGGCUGUCCAUCUUAUAGCCACAAGGAAUUGAAUUCUGCCAACUUGAGUGACCUUGGAAACAGGUUCUUCCCCAUUUGUGCCACUGGAUGAGGGUGCAGUCUGGCCAACACCUUAAUUGGAGCCUUGUGAGUCCUUGAGAAGAGGAGUCAGCCAAGCCAUGCCUGGACUCCCAACCCACAGAAACUGUGGGAUAGUAAAUGCAUGCAGCUCUAA